GACAACCAGCCUUGCUCACGAAGCGUCAGCCGUAUCCUUUCUGUGUGCAGUGGGGUGUGGGUUGUGUGGAGCCGCGGUGUCUGUGGAAUUCACAGGCUGGGGCCGGAAUCCAUGGCCCCCGUCGCCGCUGCCACCCCCCAGGUGCUGGGGUGACCUGAUCCAGGGUUGGGGUCUAAGCUGCUGGGGGGUUGGAGUCUUGGGCUCUGGCCCACGUCCGCCUCUGAUUGGUUCUACCACCUGAGCCGGUCACUGACCCUCCAUGGGCCUCAGCUUACCCUAUGGUAAAGUGAGAACUAGGGGGUCAGACUCCUUGAUCACCAAGAUCUCUGACCACAGCCAAGGCUAAGGGAAGCGCAGGAAAACGUGGGGCUCGUCCAAAUUCCCAGCCUCUCUCUGCCCCCUGGUGGACGCCGGCAGCCUAGCACCCGGGGGGAGAUGACCCCGACACUGUGUGACCUCUGCCAAGGCACCCAUCCCUCUGAGCCCCAGUUCCCACCGGUUACAUAGGAAUGAUUAUAAUACCCACCUCUUUGGGCAAUUGUGAGGAGGCAAGGAGAUAAUACAUGCAAAGUGCUUGGAUGGGAUGGGUACUAGCCACUCAACAGAAGGCAGAUCCUAGAAUGGGGAUGGCAAGUCCUGUCAUCAGUGAAGAAUGUAAUGACUGCAAGCUUAGAUGACAUGUCUGUUACUGGAAACCAGAGUUGUUUACUUAAGCUGUAAAUGAACUCAUAGUCCCUGGGAUAAUUAUCUCACCUCUGGAUAAAUAAACUCAACAGCCUUAUGUAUUUUAUUAAUUUUUCUUAAAAAAAAGCUUAAAAUAUUUUUCCUUUGAUUUGUUCUCUUUCUUUGGUUUCUGACUUUAUUAUGUCCUUUCUUUCUGCUUAGGCAUUUGUUUUAUUGCUCUUUUUUCACCAACUCAAACUGAAUGGUCACCUUAACAGUUUUAUUGAGAUCCAUUAUUUAUUCUUCUCCAUCUUGUUCUGUGUUCCUGGAAGCCAACCUUUAUAAGCUGCAGGAAAUGGAUUUCCUACUCUCCACCUUCUGAUUGGGCUUGACCAACGGGGAGCACUGGCAGAAGACAAGCAUGGGAGGAAAAAGAGAUCAGGGCUGGAGUGCAGUGGCGUGAUCUCGGCUAGCUACAACCUCC
rnacentral:lncRNA from 1 species